rnacentral:rRNA from 1 species
AACGAACGCUGGCGGCAUGCCUAACACAUGCGAGUCGAACGAGACCUUCGGGUCUAGUGGCGCACGGGUGCGUAACGCGUGGGAACCUGCCCUUAGGUUCGGAAUAACUCCCCGAAAGGGGUGCUAAUACCGGAUAAUGUCUUCGGACCAAAGAUUUAUCGCCUUUGGAUGGGCCCGCGUUGGAUUAGCUAGUUGGUAGGGUAAAAGCCUACCAAGGCGACGAUCCAUAGCUGGUCUGAGAGGAUGAUCAGCCACACUGGGACUGAGACACGGCCCAGACUCCUACGGGAGGAAGCAGUGGGGAAUAUUGGACAAUGGGCGAAAGCCUGAUCCAGCAAUGCCGCGUGAGUGAUGAAGGCCUUAGGGUUGUAAAGCUCUUUUACCCGGGAUGAUAAUGACAGUACCGGGAGAAUAAGCUCCGGCUAACUCCGUG